CGGGGUACUCGAGCGGCGAACGGGUGAGUAACACGUGAGCAACCUGCCUUCAGCUCUGGGAUAAGCCUGGGAAACUGGGUCUAAUACCGGAUAUGACUGCUGCCUGCAUGGGUGGUGGUGGAAAGAUUUAUCGGCUGAAGAUGGGCUCGCGGCCUAUCAGCUUGUUGGUGGGGUGAUGGCCUACCAAGGCUUUUACGGGUAGCCGGCCUGAGAGGGCGACCGGCCACACUGGGACUGAGACACGGCCCAGACUCCUACGGGAGGCAGCAGUGGGGAAUAUUGCACAAUGGGCGGAAGCCUGAUGCAGCAACGCCGCGUGAGGGAUGACGGCCUUCGGGUUGUAAACCUCUUUCAGCGGGGACGAAGCGUAAGUGACGGUACCCGCAGAAGAAGCGCCGGCCAACUACGUGCCAGCAGCCGCGGUAACACGUAGGGCGCGAGCGUUGUCCGGAAUUAUUGGGCGUAAAGGGCUCGUAGGCGGUCUGUUGCGUCGAAAGUGAAAAUCCGGGGCUUAACUCCGGACUUGCUUUCGAUACGGGCAGACUAGAGGUAGGCAGGGGAGAGUGGAAUUCCUGGUGUAGCGGUGGAAUGCGCAGAUAUC
rnacentral:rRNA from 1 species